GGUCAUCUAGUUCAACCCCGUGAAAUGCAGGAAUCAAAAUCCAUCAGAAUCAUUUCACCAAAUGUCACUUUUGUAGCAUAGGAUUUUGUGGAUACAUACUAACAGCAAACCAAAAAAAAAUUCUGAGUGUAUAUAUAUUUAUGUAGCCAAAAUAACAUGUACACCAGAGCUUUCCCAACUGCGUCGCGACACGUUAGUGUGUCAGCUGCAGUGUGUCGUGCAAACACUCCUCGCACUCCUCCUAGCACUGGAAAGGGGUUAGUUUAACCUCUGGUUUGCUAGUACAACUGAAAUGCUGUGCUGCAAAAUGAUGCAUGUCUAAAAAGCGUGUCACCAACAUGAAAAGUUUGGAAAGCUCUGAUGUACAUAUAAGACUUGCAGGCUUGUUGAACCCCCCACGUUUUGCAGAAAUAAAGUAAAAACAUUAGGGAGAACCCAAAAUAUCUUAAGGGGUCACAUUCCCUUCUGCCCUACCUUCAGAUGGCCAAAUACCAGUGGUGGGCAGGGCUGAAAUGUAGCUAUGUGAAGUCUUAACUACAGUUCUGAGGGUUCUCAAGAGGGAAGCUUUGGCUGUUAAAGUAGUAUAAGAGUGUUUUAAAUGUAUGGUGUGGAUGUGACCAUGCUUUGUGAGAGGGAAGAGUCAUUAACACUGAGAAUGCUUGAUUCUAUGUUGCUCUCGACUUUUCAUUAUCUUGACAAGCUUAAGGCACUGUAGUCACAUGUCUGUUUGAUAACUUUAAUAAAGGAGGACAGUAAUAGAAUCCUAGCCCAAAGGCACCUGGUGCAAUAUUAAAAACCCACAAUCUAAACACAUCGCAGUAGGGGAAGAAAAAUAAAAACAGAAACCUCUAAAAAAAAAUUUUUUUUAAAUACCAAAACAGAAUAACAACAACAACAAGCACUAGUUCACCAAAGUGGACACACCAACCAUAAACACAGACAAUAAAAUCACUAAUACCAACAAUCAAUGAUAAAAAAUUAGUACCACAAUUAAAGCAGGAAACAAUUUUUUAAAACUCUGCAUAUAACUAGCAUAUUCUGUAAUAUUAACCACCAAUAAAUGAGUUCUGAAAUUUUACACACACUCUCUCUCUCUCUGACAUUCUUUGAUCAAAUGAUGAAAUAUGGAGGAGAGUUUGAGGAAAGUGUUAAUUCCUCCAUAAGUUGGAAAUAAUAUUCUUCCCUAAUGUGCAGCUGCAAAGUGCUCGUAAUUCCUUAUCUCUGUUGCUAUGCAGCCUGGCACGUAGAGCUGGCCUAUGUAAGAGGGCCCACAUUUCAUCAUUCCUUCUGGAGACAAAACCUGAAGACAAAGAGUGGAGAAACUGCUGGAGAGAAAUAAUUGGAGAUAAGUUAAAAAUUGAAGAAAGUUGGAGAACUGGACUUAAAGAAUUGUGGAGUUUGGCAAAUGGACUUUGUACUUGCUUUGUGGACUUUGUUCAAAGAAGGACUCUGAGCUCAGUUGGUAGAGCAUGAGACUCUUAAUCUCAGGGUUGUGUGUUGGAGCUCCACAAUUGGGCAAAAGACUCCUGCAUUGUAGGGGGCUAGACUAGAUGACCCUUGUGGUCCCUUCCAGCUCUAUGAUUCUAUGAAUUUGGCUAUGAAAGCUAAAUCCCUCCCUGGGCUCAGUGUGGGUAUAGAGUAUUUUGUAUUUACUAAGUUAAGCAAUUUCUGCUAAAGCAAGCUUAAUUGUUUGACUGAACUUCUGUGGGCAUACACAACACCGAACAGAGAGCCUCACCCUGCUAUCUCAGGGAUUGAGGAAUACCAUAUAGAAAUAGAUGUUUUCUGAAACAAGAGAAUACUUGGAUAACUGUUUACAGUACAAAACUUUCUGGACAUUUUGU